CAGAGUACGGGGUGGUGUCUGCGUAAAUACGUUGUGUGUAAUGGUUGUCCGGGGUUGUUGGGCGGAAGUAGCUCGUGGUGGGUGCGGUGAGUUGGUUGUGAAAUCUCCAGGCUCCACCUUGAGGGGUCAUUCGUUGCGUGAGUGACUAGAGUUCGGUAGUGGAGUGUGGAAUUCCUGGGGUAGCGGUGAAAUGCGCAGAUAUCAGGAGGAACACCCGUAGCGAAGGCGGCACUCUGGUCCUAUACUGACACUGAGGAGCGAAAGCGUGGGGAGCGAACAGGAUUAGAUACCCUUGUAGUC
rnacentral:rRNA from 1 species